GUGUCCGCACUUUGGCAACAUAUAUACUAAAGUUGAAAUGAUAGAGAUUAGCAUGGCUUCUGCAUAAGAAUUCUUGAAACACAUUCUUGAAAUAUUUCAUAUUUUU